rnacentral:rRNA from 1 species
GACGAACGCUGGCGGCGUGCCUAAUACAUGCAAGUCGAACGCUUCUUUCCUCCCGAGUGCUUGCACUCAAUUGGAAAGAGGAGUGGCGGACGGGUGAGUAACACGUGGGUAACCUACCCAUCAGAGGGGGAUAACACUUGGAAACAGGUGCUAAUACCGCAUAACAGUUUAUGCCGCAUGGCAUAAGAGUGCAAGGCGCUUUCGGGUGUCGCUGAUGGAUGGACCCGCGGUGCAUUAGCUAGUUGGUGAGGUAACGGCUCACCAAGGCCACGAUGCAUAGCCGACCUGAGAGGGUGAUCGGCCACACUGGGACUGAGACACGGCCCAGACUCCUACGGGAGGCAGCAGUAGGGAAUCUUCGGCAAUGGACGAAAGUCUGACCGAGCAACGCCGCGUGAGUGAAGAAGGUUUUCGGAUCGUAAAACUCUGUUGUUAGAGAAGAAUAAGGACGUUAGUAACUGAACGUCCCCUGACGGUAUCUAACCAGAAAGCCACGGCUAACUACGUG